UACGGGGGGAGCAAGCGUUGUUCGGAUUUACUGGGCGUAAGGGCGCGUAGGCGGUCGUGACAAGUCACUUGUGAAAUCUCCGGGCUUAACUCGGAACGGUCAAGUGAUACUGUCGGACUAGAGUACAGAAGGGGCAACUGGAAUUCUCGGUGUAGCGGUGAAAUGCGUAGAUAUCGAGAGGAACACCUGCGGCGAAGGCGGGUUGCUGGGCUGAUACUGACGCUGAGGCGCGAAAGCUAGGGGAGCGAACGGG
rnacentral:rRNA from 1 species